UAUUAUACUGUUAAGAGGGAAGAGCAAGAUUGUGAGAUCGCACGUGCCAGUUUCCACGUGAUUGAUAAUCCGAAGUCUCAUAUAACAGCACAUAUAAGCCACUGCCGUUGUUUUACACACCUUUAUUGGUUCUUUAACAUUGGUUGCACUAUUUCAAGUCAAAUUGGGACUUGUGAUCUGGUGUUUUGAUUAGAGAUUAUUACUGUAAAGGACUUAUUUUUAUUACUGACAUUUCUUCUUAUAUGUUAUUUCACUUUCUAUGCCCAUUGAAGUGAACUGGGUAACAUCAUUUGUUUUGUAUUUUUAUUCUUUUUUUAUACAGCUUCUCUUGUUUAAUUGGAUCUGAGUCCUGAGAAAAAGCUAUUUUUCCCUGAACCAAACAUUUAAUGCUGGGUCUUCUUUUGGGGCUCAGUCAAGAAUAAAAGAAUCCUUUUUU